UUUGCAGACUUAGUCACAUGAUAAGUUAAAGCAAUGAAGUAAGUCAUAAAAGUGAUAAUACCAUUUUACAAACUGAGAACCCAUAAAACAAGUAAAUAAUCUGCGCUCUGUCUACUAAAUUUGUCUUGAUUUUUUUCUUAAUAAAAAAGGCUUUUGUUCGAAAUAAAAGUGAAGGGUUGCUUUGUUAAAUAUUAAAUUCUAGGAGAUUAAAAAUAUAAUUUCCUUUCCUUCUCUUGGUAUUUCCUUUAUCCUAUUGCAAGGCAUUCUUGGAAAUCACCAUUGUAUUGUUUAUUUUUUAAAUUAAAAUGCUGUAACAACUGCAGCGUUUUUGGAUUGUAUCAAUAUUUUAUUGUGCGAUGAAAAAGAAUGAUUGUGAAAGCCUAAAAAUGCUCAAUUUUUCAUUUAAAUAUUUCACAAGGAAAACCCUACUGAGAUACAUCUUCUUUUCAUGGGUGCCCUGGUGGUUCUCACAGAAGGGAGAUGCAAUAUAUAUAGUUCUACAAUCCAGUGCAUUUAAAUUUCAUAAAACAGAGGGACAAAGAUGACUUUCUGUUUUAAGUGGAGUACUAACAUCUUAUCUGGGUAUUACAUCUCAAACCUAAGGUUCUGCUCCUUCCAUGCAGGUAAAAAAUGAUGGUUCUGUUUUCUUUUCAAGGUGUCCAAAGCCCUCUGCUUUGCAGUUAUUAAACCAGGCAGAAUGAUAAUGGACAAUGCCUUUUCUUUAUGUAGAUGAGAGGGCUUGAUUUAUAAUAUCUUAUUUCCAGAUAUUUCUUUAUAAAGGAAAAACACAUUUACAUCUCAGAUGAGGUGUCUAUUUUCAUGUCUCUUUAAUAAUCAUUAAGUUUGCAACAUCAUUUUCCUAUAAAUUCCAAAUAAAUGAAAAACCUGACAUGGAAAAUGGCAUAAUUAAAUUCAAUUUACAAUUAUUCUCCUCCCUCAAAUUAUAAAUAUUUGUGGGAUUUUUCAUAUAUUUUGAGUUAUUAAGCUCAAAAUUAAAGUGUUUACAGUCAUGACACUAUACUGGCACUUUUUAAAGUAAAAAUAGGUUUGAAAUAGUUUGUCUGCAAUACUGAUUUUUGAUAAAUAAAAAAAUUAUUUAAAAAAAUUUUUCCCAUGGAAAAAUUAAUUUAACUUAAAACUGAAAGAAUAUGGUAUUUGGGACUCUAGAGUGAAAUAGCCAGAAUUUUAUAGGAUUAAAAACAUGGAUACAAGGGGAAAAUGGCUAAAAAGAAAAUCUUGUUAUUUGGGUAGAAUUUAAAAGUACUUAAUGCCUUUCAGUGUUACUAAUAAUUUUAUAAAAUCCCAAUUAUCAGGAAAUAUUGGUAAAAUUUUUUUAAUGCAUUUGAAUUUUAGGAGUGUGGAACAGAAACAAAUGGAAAAAAAAAUUAGUUCUAGCAAUCAUUGCUUUCAUGUUGGAUAAAAUGUUUAACUUCUAUUUUCUGGGCUACUACAGAACUCCAGAGACUCAGUUGAUUUGAUUAUUUCAGUCAAAACAUAAGUCAAAAUAUUUAGCAGCUUCACUGUUCUCAUAUCACCAUAGUCACAGAAACUGCCCUCCCCCCUCCAAAGAUGGUGCAGACACUCAAACUUGAGUUGAUUUUGUAAAGAAGGCUUUAAAUUGAAAUUGAUUAUUUAAUCAGUGUUUCUCAGACUUAUUCAAUCACAAAAAUCACUUGGAGGCACUGCUUGAAGCACAUAUAUUUCCAGACCCCUUUGCCGGAUUUCUUAGCUCUGAGGCGGCACUCAAAGCCUGUAUGGAUAACAAGCAAUCCAGGUGAUUCUAAUGAUCAGGCAAGUUGAGGGAACACCAUUUAACACAAUAUGAUUUUCUUAGGCACUUUAAAAAAUCUUUAAUAUAAAAUCUCCUUUGCUUACUCAGAGGCUGAUUAACUGCUGAGAAAGGUAGAGUUAAUAUAGUUCAACAGUUUAUAAGUAACAUGAGAAUUAGCCAAACAUUAAUGUGUUUUAAUAUAAAACUGAAAUCUUAAUCGAUGCUGCCUUUGAACAUCAUGAAAUAAAUGAACUAUUUAGCUGUUUCAAGUUAUUCCCGACUUUCAACAGCCAGAGUAAUGGCUUUAGAAAUUCAGUGGUGUCCUGGCAGCUGUGUUUCCCUCUCCUAAUGAUAACAACCUUUUAGUAUGUGGUAGUAUAACUUCUUCUGUAACAUCUCAAUGAUCUCUGUUUUGGUCUUUUGUCAAGUAUGUUGAGGUAGUCAUGAGCAGCUGUAAACCCAGAGUGAAAUAUAGAAGGAUGAAUUUUAUACUGAAGACAUAAAAACUAUUAAAUUCACUAUUUCCCAUCUAACACGUGGUUUCUCUUGCAUCUACUUUGUUCUCUAUCAUCUUAUGCAGAAAUACAAUUUGGCUGUUAGUUUCCUUGGUUUCUAUCUUCUUGGCAACUUUCUGGAAACAGAAAUAAUCAUUUUAUUUUCUGUGAAUUGCUAUAAAAUAGAUUUGAACUGAAUUAAUAGAUAAUUUAAUUUACACUCUUGAAGAAAAUAAUAUCACUGAAGACCUUCAUGAAAUAUGCUCUCUUUCUCUGCAUUUGUCUUAAAUAUCUAUGUGAUAUGCUGGAUGUACACAUGUAUAUAGCCCUGCAAGUGAUUCUAGAGCAAAUAAAAUCGCUGUGGAUUUGAAACAGGAACCCAUUCCACUUAGAAAAGUUCAUUAUAAAUAAGAGAUUUAUAUUGGCACACAUUGGAAAUAAAGUAUUUAGGAAAACUGUAAACUACUGAAAAAUAAAAGAACCCUUUAUACAUUUUCCACAUGAAAGUGAGAGGGGCAGUUUAGUGUCCUGGUUGAGAGCCCAGACUCUGAAGCCAGACUUUCUGGGCUCAAAUCCUGGUUUUGCUACUCACUACUUAGUGACCUUGGGCUAACUACCUAACAUGGUUGUGCCUCUGUAUCUUCAUGUAAUAAAAGGGGUUAGUAAUAAUAACAGUACUUAUUUCAGAGAAUUGUUGUAUUAGAUGAGCUAAGUUCUUAGGACAGUAUUUGGCAUUUUUAAGCACUAAAUAAACAUUAGGUAUUAUUUUAUACUUAUAUACAUACAUAUUCAGGGAUCAAUUACAUUUUUUUCUUGUGAGAAAUGGAUACUUUUCAAAGAGUCAUGGAAAGUAUCACCUAAAUAAAUUGGCAUGAAUGCUAGCUUUUUAAAAUUCAAGUACUGAAAAAAAUAUUAUCUCUAACCCUUCUUUUUAUAUCACAUUUUCUUCUUGUGUAUUUUAUUAUAGAAAAAUUUUUUAUAAAUGCUGCAUCACAUCUUCUGUUAUGAGUGACUAUUGCUAUAAGAGGCCUCUACUACGUGUAUGUAAUUAUUAUGAUUCAAAGAAUGUAAUUUUGUCCUUGGUAUUAUUCAAACUUAUGUGUGGCUAUUAAUUUCAUCAGAAUAGUAUUUUCCUUUCCCACUUGCUGACAAUCUGGAGUUUAUAAAUUUCUGGUUAAAAAGUCGCUGUUUACCACUGAAAGACAUUCUUUCUAUGUCUGUAUCUAACCAAAAAAAUUCAACUGUAGAAAGUGUAUACAGAUCCAGGAAAAGAUGAGUUGGGUAUAAUUUGUAUUAACUUUAAAUUACAGAUACCAUUAGAUAUAACUUCUGUAUCUCCCAAGAAAUUAAUCAUGAAAACAAUACAAUUAUAUAAUAUUUGAAAAAUACAUUACUAACAGCCAGACACCUAAGUCAGAUUUUAUGCAGCAAAAAAAAUCAGACUCUAUUUAUCAUUAGAUCUGCUUUUCUAAAUUCUAAUUUCAAAGUACUAGCUCUUCAUAUAAUUAUAGAAAUGGUAUUAUCCCAUGUUUGUGUAAUCUCUGGUUUAAGUGAGUUUUAUUCAAUUUGCUUAAGAAGUUUAGAAUAGAGUCAAUUUGAUUCUGCUAGUCUUCACUCAAAUCCACCAAUUUAAUGUUACUUUCUUAUUGUAAUAAAGAUUUUCUAUUGCAUUAAAGAUGAAAUUACAUUUAUGUUCUUUGGCCAGGCAAAGUGCCAUCACCGUAUGAUUAUUAUAGAAUUUUGAAGUACUCCAUUCUCUUAGAGUACCAUCUGAUUCUAGAACCUAUGGGAGACUUGCUAUGUCCUCAAUAUCAGCUAUAAUGAGGCAUUAUCCAGGAGUUUUACAGAUUGAAAUCUUCCAACCUAUCAACCCAGGGAAUAGAAUGAAAUUUUAGAUCUAGCAAGCCCAUUUUUUUUGAGUCAUAAGCAAGAAUAUAAUAUCACAGUGAUUUAAUUAGAACAACCAAGGGCAAGUAUAUUCUUUGUGCAACCCCCUUUUGAACUUUGUCCUACCUAAGCUUACCCCUCUGAUAGCUAUCACCUACAUAAGCCUCUUCACAGCAAAAGGACCUUUCUUGUAACAGUCCUGAGUUAGGAAGCACUGCUCUUCAAACAUUGAUGUACAUACUGAUCACCUGCGUGAUUCUGAUUCAGUAAAUCUGGAAGACUGAGAUUUUCCAUUUCUAAUAAGCCUCCAGGUGAUGGCCAUGUUUCUGGCCUGGGUAGUGAAGUACUUCCUGGUUUAGGAAGAAAUAGGGCAAGGCUUGGGUUCUCAGUGACAUUGAGGCCUCCUCUGGCUUGUGAUCAUCUUCUGGCUGGCUGAGAAGGAAGUGGUGGGUGCCCUGAAGUAUUGAUGAACAUAUGUUCAUGAGUGUCGGCUGUAGACUUCUCCUAGCACGGCAAGUUUUUUUGCUUUCACCAAUAAUCCUUUCGGGAUUAACAAGAACAGAGGAGGUGGUGUGGGCAUUCAGUGGCCUCAUAGACUUCAGAUGGUGACCAGAGGGAGCACGGGAAGAGUAUAAAAGACGGCGUAAACACAAGGUAAUGUGGUACAUCCGACUUAGGAAGAGAUCGGUUCCUGCACCGUUGCUUGCCUUACCACCUCUAUCAAUGCUGGAAGACUGGGAAUGCUCAAAAUGCUGGUGUGGUGUAUGGGCAUGUGGCAUGGUGCAGACUAUGGAAGGGCUUUUAAGUCUGAUAUAUUUGGACUGAAGUUUUGAAUUUCAUAAUUUCCCUGCAAACCAGGUGAGUCACUGCCCUUUCAGAUACAACUUAUUUAUUAGGUAGCCAGAGACUAACUGCCUUACAGGACAAAGAGAUAUAAAUACAAACCAUCAAGAGCCAUGACAAUGGACUUGAUGAUAACCAGCCAAAUCAUGGUGCAUUUAAUAAAUGUUUGUUGGAUGAGUUUUCUUAAUCAGCUCGCUUUGGCACUUCCAAACUGUCUCUUGACCUAGCUACAUUUACUGCCAGCAAUUGCUACAACCAGUGAUCACUGAUUCAGCUUGGAAUGCAGCUAUGUCUUAGAUUUUAAGUGGCUUUUCUCUGGAUGAGAGUAACAGUGCCUCUUGGUUCCACUCCCUUCUUUUCUUUGUUUUCUCAACAUUCUGUUCAGCAUGUGCAGAACCUGAGGGUCCUUCCAUGCUGGGACCUCCAGUAGGCAGGGGUGGUUGCCCCUGUCAUCUUUCUUUUGGCGGGGAAGGAGAGUGGGUGUGUGUUUAUAUGAUAAGCUUGAAUAACAGAUUGAAUAGCAGCUUCACUUUAUUCAAGCCCUGCUCCUCACCUGUGAGGAGACACAGUGGUUUGUAUUUUUCUGUUGUUCCCUGGCAACAUGUCAGUGGGGUAGCAAAAUACCAUGGCAGGUUACUUAUUUGUAAUGCAAAUGAAGUUUUUGAGUAUGUGUUGCCUCGGUGCUUUUUCUAUGUGGGUUGUUAAUUCAUAACACGUUGCUGCUUCUGAAACAAACCUGGGCUUUCUGAUGUGACUGCUUCCAGGGAAGAGGCAUAAAUUAGUUGAUUCCUACUGUCCUUUCUCGAAGACCCUUAUGGAAGUGAAGCCUGUCAAGUGUUUUUGGUAAACCUAUUUUAUAGUCCCAGUCUCUGGAAUUUUUAAAAAGCAGGAAGACUUUUCAUUUCUGAUGACUCAUGAGUACUCAGUGAUAAUGGUGGUGAUAACUAUUAGGUUGAUAAAUAGACCACCUGUCCUUACAUAAAUUCAUGUUUGGUGCUAUAUUUUUUUGGAUUGUUAAGAGCGAACAUUGAUAGUAGCAGUGACAAUUGUUUGGUUCUGGCCUGGCUUCUAAAUCCCCUUCCUUUUAACAUUCCAUGAGCACUUUAUGCCAGAUGCUAUGGUAGGUUGCCAGUGUUACAAAGAAAAACAUCUUUUUCUAGCUUUCAAAGAGUAUGAAGUCACUGAUGAAGUAUGCAAUUGCAAUAGGGCCAGGGGCAUAUUGCUGAUUUGGGGGGCAGUGGCCAGGAAGGUUUCACUGUUUAAGAAUGUAAGCUUUGGCAGCGGCAGACAGUUUUGAGGUAUUCUAGCUGUGUGAUCUACAAAUUGUGUGACUGAGACCCUAGAGAGAGGUGUUUAAUCUCUCUAUGCCUUGGUUUCCUUAUGUGUAAGAUGUGGUCAAAGAUAGCCAUCUUAUAGGAUAGUUGUGAAGUUUAAAUGUAAUAUCAGGAGUUCGUGUCUUGGCUCAGUGGUUAAUGAAUCUUACUAGGAACCAUGAGGUUGUAGGUUCGAUCCCUGGCCUUGCUCAGUAGGUUAAGGAUCUGGUGUUGCCGUGAGCUGUGGUGUAGGUCGCAGAUGAGGCUCGGAUCUGGCGUUGCUGUGGCGUAGGCUGGCAGCUACAGCUCCAAUUGAAGCCCUAGCCUAGGAAGCUCCACAUGCCAUGGGUUUGGCCCUAGAAAAGACAAAAAG
rnacentral:lncRNA from 1 species